UCCAGCUUGUCGUUCCACAAUUUAGUGUACUGCAUCUGUCAGCCAUGUAAUGGCGUCGUUGACCUUUGACGUUGGGUACCGAGUGUGACCAUCAUCGUUUACUCUCCCUUGAAUUGGUUUUUAAAACUUGUGGCUGCCUAAAUGCUUGAUACAAUUUUUCAUGUCGGACACCCGAAGAAGUUCAUUUUUACUUCUCGUUCUUAAAUGAAAAAAUAAAGAGGAGCUUGGAAAUCAUUUCAUUAGCCAAAACAAAGAGAUGUUAAAAAGCUGUUACUGAAAGCGUUGAAAGUGUUAUUGAAACUAGGAAAAUGUUGAAAUUUAUGAAACUCAAAGUGCUUGUCGAUCCAGAAGUUUCUGCUGAUACCCUUUUGCCAAAAACUUCACCACAGGAUGAGGGGUAAGUUUUGGUGACAAAACGAAUCCGACGUUCCAAACCGAUUGUGAUGGACGGCACUCUCUCCAUAUAACAUUGAACUGGACAUCGAGUUGGCUUUGAUCUUACCAGUCAAAGUGUGCUCAGUGAUGUUGCCUUUGAUAUCGAACCCAUCGCCACCACCGGCCAAAAAGCUAGGCAUCGCCACGUCAUAGAUUUCCUAUUGUCAACCUUGGGCUGGACCGGACUGUAGGCUGGAAUACGACAAUUGUUGCAUCGUGCCAAAAGUUCUACCACUCUAUCACCUAUGGGCCUAGCUAUGUCGUACGCAACUUGGAGACCUGUGGAUCAUUGCUCGAUAGAAAAAACAUUUAAAAGAAUUCGUGAAAGAAAACCAUUUACCUGAAACCUGCAGAAAUCCACCGAAGGGAUCCAGAGCUGAUGGAUCGUAAUCAUGCACUGUAAACUCGAAAAUAUUCUUCAGCGUUUCACCGCUGAUUUUGACGAUGUCUACUGUAUUACUGAAAGGAGCGACUGAAAGAAGGUCACCGUACGUGAUGGAUCCUACAAGACAGAAUCCACUUGUAGAUUUUUAAAAGAACUCGUCAUUAACUGAAUUCACCAUUUUGGGCGCGCUCAUCGAUGGAUGCCCUGACUCCGCCGCCAUUGACGAGAGCGAUAGCCACUUUACUCCACUGACCCUCGCCUGCAAACUUGGUGAACUGCAUUAAAGCUAUAAACGGUUAUUCAAGGAUUGCCGUAAUAUCUUAUUAGCAUACCAAAUCAACGUAGGCGUCAGCAAUGAAAUUUCCAAGAUUGCAUUCAACCAUGCGACAGGACAGACGAUUACCGUCCAAGAAGACGAGCGUUUUUCCAACUUCUUUCUCGACAAAGCUUCGACUUCUUUUCGAAAUGGGAUCAGUUCCUGCAGGACGUGUGGAUCUGCAUCGUGGAUGAAACGAUGGCAGAUGUGUAAUUUACGACCAGUAGGAUUUACAACUACAAUAGUACCUCGAGGUAUGGUCUUAUCCAUGAGAAUCGGUAGGCCAGCAGUAGCGAUCACAUCUCCAUCGUCGUUAAAAGUCACCAUCAAGUUGCCCAGAUAUUUGCCAAAGGCGAAUGCCUGAACGACGGGCACUUCCUUCCCAGACGGUUGCUUCACCAUGGUCGGAUAUGGACCUUGUGGAAUUUCGAUGGACGGAGCCGGACCUGCACGUUAAUGGAUUCGAGCUUAAAUUGAUUACACUAACAGCUUACCGUUCCAGAGAAAUGUGUUGGUAUGACCGCCUACCACCACGUCGAUAUCUGGCACCUGUUCAGCGAUUUCCAUAUCUUUGAGAUAACCCGCGUGACCGACUGCAAUUAGAAUAUUGACUCCAUCCUUUUUAAGGCGUUCUGCUUCUUCUCGAACGCCUUGAAUUUCGUCAAAGACUUUGACUGCGUCCAAGGUGGAGAUGUACUGCCAUUUGUGAUCAAGAGCCAAAAGAAGACGUCAUUUAUAAUUUUCACAUCACUAAUUUUGUUAGAAAAAUGUUUUUUCACCGAUGUUUCAACCGUCAGGUAGCCAAUGAUGCCUACCCUGUGUCCACCUACUUGGACGACUACUGAUUUUGGAAUUUUCCCAUGAAGCCAAGAGUUCCAGGAAGAAAGUUCAAUCAGAGUUUACAGAGGCAUAAUUGAUUAAAAGAAAAGGUAUUUUUACCGGAUGGUUGGCUGCAUUCACGAACGGUGCCAGCCCCGGCACGCCAUCAUCAAAUUCAUGGUUGCCAAGAGACUACUCAGCACAAAAGGAUGAGGGAAAAAAAUCCAAAAUUAAUUGCUAAAAUUUCUAAUCCCUACAUGUCGUGCCUGUAAACGUUUUGACAGCACAAUUGAUAAUAAUGAACGUUCAAUAUGUGCUGCCAGGCUUUCCGACGGAUGUGUACAAAGCAUAGGGCGUUUCCCCAUUCGUGGUUGUCUAAACCAGGAAAACGCGCUACAUCAAUAAUUAAGAAACAAAUUUAUCAACGUGAGUGUAAACACACGGACCGUUAACGCGCUGCCACAUGGGUGGGAAAACUGUCGGCGAUGAUCACGCAAAAAACGCAGCUUUUUUUCAUUCCAUUACAAGCAGAUAAGAAGGAUUUCAACAACUCACAUUGUGAAAAUCAUUGGAAUAGAAAGUGGCCGUUAAAAAGAAUGACGGACGUUUUCCAUUGUCCAUUUCAACAUAGGCUACCUCGAUAAACCUAAUAACCACAGUGAGUGGAAAGGAAAAGGAUUGUUUGGCUUCUUGACCGAACCACUAUGCUACAGAAACAUCUGUCUUUAGAAAGCGAAACAACGGAGGAAACAUGAAUAACUUACCAUGGCCGUUAAGUUGAGCAAGUUACCGAAGUGGCUGACGGCCUUCCAUUUAUGGAUGGUAUACCAUCUGUCGGCGAGACCAAAUACGUAAACCAAACGCCAAUCAGAAGUAGCAAAGCAGGCAAGGAGAUAUAAAUAUUGCACAGCAUUUGUUCUCACAUGGUGCCUUGGAAGAAAUCACCGCCAUUUAAAAAAAUUGUGUCCGGAUGCUGUUCACGAAUUUUUCGAGCUUGAUGGACCAGACGGGCAUAUCCACCGAAACAAUUGCCAUCCUCCGAGUCUCGUUGUUUGCACGCCCCACCGAGUUUGUUGGCCUCUUCGAAACGGCAAUGGAUAUCGUUAGUGUGUAGGAUAGUCAAAUUAAACGAAGCUGAUGCCUGCUUGACAACGAAAGAUACACAAAACAGACCCAACAGCCUCAACCACAUGAGUACGGUAUUACGUGUCGACCAGUCCUGCAUUUUCUGCUCAACUGUGGACAAAAUUUUGAGCGUUCAGCGUUAUAUUGCUCACCAAACUGGAAAUAGGCGUCGCCACAAGCUGUCUACUAGCUUUCGGAGAGAGGAGACUAAAUCCGAAGGACGUAACCAGCAAGAGUCAUCUCCUAUUCAAACUUCCCUUCGCAGAUUCCCUUCGGGAUUCGGUUUGCUAUAAGAAGCUAGCCCAGAUGCCAAUCGUCUUGAUCCCUCUCCCUUUGAUUGCGAUUCGAGUCAACGCAUUCCAUCAUGCCAGCGAUCGCAGACGUUGUUCGACCAUUCUUUUCACAGGAUUUUAUGACUGGACUUCCUGCAAUUCCUGAUACCAUCUGUCCUAAGAGGUUGUAGACAAGAUGGUUGAAGCCGUUUGGAACUGUUCCAGCAAUUUCCAAGGUCCUGUAUGACCUGACGGCGAAACCACCGGAGAAAAAGGAGUGGGAAUGAUUUGAUUUACGAACGUUGCUUAGGCAAAUGAUCUCCACACUCUUUAUAGGACAAGGAUACGGAGUUUUAUCAUGACCAGAUUUAGAUGGGAGAUAUUACGAACAUUGGAUUCAGUAUAGACUUUUGAAAUUGAAAAAUUAAUCAGCUUUGUCGUCUCGUGAAAAUCUUUUUAACUCGCUUUUUAAGAGGAGUUCACGUGAUGACUUGUCUAUUUCUUAAUAUACAUGCACACUUGUCGGAAAUAAUGGGUGCAUUUAUUUUUCGUCGAACAAAUUAAACAUUGUUAAUGGGCAGCUAGGUGGGUUGUUGUUGUUUCCCUCCCUUGUAAAACUACCCUUUUUCACCCAAUUGUUAAUCUAAUUCUUUUGGGAACGUUCGGAUGUCGCCCAAAAACAAGCGGGAGGCUAUUCGAGGCGUUAUGCCAUUUCCUGAAAUUUAACAUUCAGGAAAUUUGUUAUAAGUUCGCAAACUUUUAAGGUCUUUUCAGAGUAGUACCAUAAAGUAUGACAGUAGAAAAGGGUACUGAGGUUUCUUAAAGUGAAGAACAGAUCUGACGCCUUUGGUAAGCGGAAAAAGUACUGCAUAUUGAAGUGUCAGAUGACGGUUUAAAGAAUGAACUCUUUCGUUUACCCAAUGAAUCUUAACUUGGAACUGGCAGGUGGCGUUUAGCAGUGGCACCCAAUCUUUAUUCUUAAAACCCAGAGGUGUUCUUCACUUUUCAAGUGGAUUUAUUGAUGAUACUUGCUGGUUAAACCAUGAAGAAUACCAAUACAUGGAUAAGUGGAGGGUUAUAAAACUGUAAUUCCUCAAGGCAUUUUCAUUCACGCAUGCGAGGCAGUUCGUGAGCAGACGAACCAUUGAAAGAGCCUUGCGCAGUCUAGCAGCAUUCGGUCAGAUAUAUGCAGAACCCGAAACAUUGUUUUGACAAGUACUGUCAUAUUUCGAUUGCAGGUUUUCACUAAAUACCAAGUGUCAGAACUGACUUAGCGUAAUUCAUGAAAAAUCGCGAUUUUGCUCAAAUCUGACUUUUGGCUAAAACACCUCAUUCCAGCCCCAAAUUUAAUAAGGAUCACGAAAAUCCUAUUCGUUUUGUUAUGGAAUCCCUAUUUCCGAAGAUAUUGGCUACUUCCAGUUACUUCCGGGUGUUGUAGCUUUUAUUCCGUGUAUUUUUGCCAUCAACAGUAGAGGCUGACCCCACGAGCAACGACAGUUUUAGCUAAAGAUGUUUAGCUUCUCGAGCUGCAACUAUUUGUAGUUGAUAUUCUAGGAUGAAAAACUAGAUGACGUUGACAUGCACUUUGAUAAAGAUCACAAAUGACAAGUAAAAUAUGUGGUAAUCAAUCGAUGCUGUCUGUUCUACUACACUUGGGGAAUAAUGGUUCAGUGAUGGGGUACAACACCACUCCAAUCCAUAGUGGCAAGGUAGAAUCUAUUGCAACGAAAUAUUUCGUUGCAAUAAGAGACUUACGGUCAAAUCCGACUUUUGGCUAAAAAUAUGCCUCACGGGCAUCGGUAGCCGGGCAAAGUGGCCCACCGCAAAAAAACAAAUAGGGAAAAAGUCUCUUAUUGCAAUUGCAACGAAAUAUUUCGUUGCAAUAGAUUCUACCAAGCAAAUUAACUAUUUCUGAAGCAGACGAACUGUAUGACUAACUCAAUUUUGCCCAUUGUUUUGAAAAGUACUGUCACUGGCAUCACCAUCUAGCGGAAUUCUGACAGGAAAAUAGUUUUUUUUUUUUUCAAUAACACGUUUUGUGUAAAAAAUUUACAUGAUUUGGAUUCAAAAUUCAACAACAAUUACAAAAAAACAAUACAAUUUACAAAACAGUCGGACUUACUUCUUUUAUGGAGAAGUGAGAGGAUUUUAAGUUGGGUUUCAAAGUAGAUGGAGCCACUGCUGCAUAUUUUCAAGACAUGGCCAUGGCAUUUCUGGUUUAGCAUCCACGGAGAAUACCUGCGUCAUUAAGUUCUUGUUAAAAUUACACUCCUGAUGUCGCGUGGUUUUACCUGGAAUUUAGCGUCUCAGAACUGUGCUCGAUGUGCUGUGAUGGCCACAGGACCCUGUUUGUGACAGAAUGCAAUGCCACAGAUGUUUUGUUGCCACUGUAAAUAAAAAAGAUCUUUAGUGUCACUCUUGUGUUGAUGAAUUGCUAGCUCACACGUAAGAAGUAAAAGGAAGUUCAAGAUUUUUGUCUUGUCAUUGUGGUGAUUGAUGACUGUUUGUCACAUGAUGGAGGCUACUUUUAAAAUGAAAACAACAAAAACUCCUUUAGUCAUGAAGAUUCGUUUGGGUUCUUUUUCGACAACAAAGUCUUGCAGAAUGGUAAACAGCUGUGAAUGGUCACAUACUCAAAUGACGACGAGAUUAAGUGAGAGGUUUGUGAAAUAAGUUAUAUAAUGUUACUGUUAUUUUUUGUCAUAUAAAAUGAAAUACAAAAAUGUUAAUAUAUA
rnacentral:lncRNA from 1 species